rnacentral:lncRNA from 1 species
CCUUCUUUCAAAAGAUAAUACAUGCAUAUAGCUCAAAAUUCAGGAGGUACCAAAAGCACACAUCAGAGUCUCUCCUGACUCCUCUAAGUCACCCAGUUGCCCCUAAUAUCCUUCCAGAAUUAUCUUAUGCACUUGCUUAUAGACACAAAAUAUAAAUUUUUUUUAAACCCAAAUGUUAUCAUACUGUAAACACUGUACAUACCUUGGUACCCUUCCAGAAUUAUCUUAUGCACACAGAAGGAAAAUAUAAAUAAACAUUUUUACUUUUUUAACCCAAAUAUUAGCAUACUGUAGACACUAUACAUAUCUUGAGGGGUUUUCUCCUUUACUGUGUAUCCUGGAGGUUAUUCCACUCAGACAUCAGAGUUUUCAAAUUUUUUAACAGCUCCAUAAACUCC